rnacentral:rRNA from 1 species
CCUACGGGUUGCAGCAGUAGGGAAUAUUGCACAAUGGGGGAAACCCUGAUGCAGCAACGCCGCGUGGGUGAAGAAGGAUUUCGGUUUGUAAAGCCCUGUCAUCAGGGAAGAAAAUGACGGUAUCUACCGAAUAAGCACCGGCUAACUACGUGCCAGCAGCCGCGGUAAUACGGAGGGUGCAAGCGUUAUGCGGAAUCACUGGGCGUAAAGAGCGCGGAGGCGGGGUAGCAAGUCAGAUGUGAAAACCCGGGGCUUAACCACAGAAGUGCAUUUGAAACUGCUAUGCUAGAGUGUCGGAGAGGUAGGCGGAAUUCCUAGUGUAGCGGUGAAAUGCGUAGAGAUUAGGAGGAAUACCAGUUGCGAAGGCGGCCUGCUGGACCGUAACUGACGCUGAGGCGCGAAAGCGUGGGGAGCAAACAGGAUUAGAUACCCCAGUAGUC